rnacentral:rRNA from 1 species
AACGAACGCUGGCGGCAGGCUUAACACAUGCAAGUCGAACGAUGUAGCAAUACAUAGUGGCGCACGGGUGAGUAACGCGUGGGAAUAUACCUUAUAGUGGGGAAUAACUUUGGGAAACUAAAGCUAAUACCGCAUACGCCCGAGAGGGGAAAGAUUUAUCGCUAUAAGAUUAGCCCGCGUGAGGUUAGGUAGUUGGUGGGGUAAUGGCCUACCAAGCCUACGAUCUCUAGCUGGUCUGAGAGGAUGAUCAGCCACACUGGAACUGAGACACGGUCCAAACUCCUACGGGAGGCAGCAGUGGGGAAUACUGGGCAAUGGAGGAAACUCUGACCCAGCCAUGCCGCGUGAAUGAUGAAGGCCUUAGGGUUGUAAAGUUCUUUCGCCGAUGAAGAUAAUGACGGUAGUCGGAGAAGAAGCCCCGGCUAACUUCGUGACAGCCGCCGCGGUAA